GCUGGGCGUGGUGGCGCACACCUGUAAUCCCAGUGGCUCUGGAGGCUGAGACAGGAGGAUCCUGAGUUCAAAGCCAGCCUCAGCAAAGUUGAGGUGUUAAAUAACUCAGUGAGACCCUGUCCCUA
rnacentral:sRNA from 1 species